AAAACCUCCGACGGCUCCAUCAAAUGGCAGCUCUGCUACGACAUCUCGGCCAGAACUUGGUGGAUGAACAGGUUACCGGGCUGUGCUGACCUGGAGCCAUGUGUUACAGAUCCCACAUAGUCUGGCUCUAGCUGCUUUUGGGCGCAAUUAAAGUUUCAAUAAAGUCCCAACGUGCUCCGCAGAACGAGUUAACUAGCAUGUCAUGGUCAGCCGGGCCAGACAACCUUUGACAUCUUGAAUCUAUAAGAGGUAUAGUGAGUUAGGAGGAUGCACAAUAGCCCAUUGUGGCAGAAGAUGCAAGUCCUGUUGUGAGGAAGAGAGUCCUCAAAUCAUUACUGCCCUCGUUAGCGUGUUGUCCGUUAGGGAUUAAUUCGUUAGCAGCGCAUUUUUAGUUUUCUGUAAUUAUUAUUCUUGUGGCAAGCGUGAAUUCUUCCAGUGAGAGGAAAAGUUUGCUGCCAGGACAAUGAAUGUAUUAUCCGCUCCUAACUGGACCGUGAACCUCAGCUCAUUUCACAUAGAUAUCAGUUAAAAAAGGACUGGCGAGUGGAAUUACAAAACAAGGCAUGAUCACUUUCAUUGUAUGAUACGCUGAAACAAGUCGGGGGCUUUCCCUCCCCCUCACUGCCCCGGACCAAUUUUGGUAUCAUUUGGAAAGUUUAAGACCUCUGAGGACUUGAAAGACUUUUAAAAGUGAGAUCCGGAAGGUUUUUAUUCUGCAGCUUGGUGGUGGCCAUUGUGUGUAUCAUGUGGCUUGUAUUUAAAGGUGUUUGGGCUCGGGUUUUUCCGUUUUGUUUUGUCUAAACUCUUAAUUUUUUUAACGGUCUAUUAGAGGUUUGCCAGUGGUUGCCAGUGAAAUGUAACAUGCAGCUUUUGGUUAAUGGGAAUAGGGAAGGCUAACCACUUUACUUAUAGUACUGAUUUUCCAAUUAGACUUUCUGCCAGGGGAAGUUGGAGGGGGAAGGGGUAUUUGCAUGCACAUAAACUGUUGAUUAUUCAUGUGACUUUUUUUUAGCUUGUUAAACCCCUGUAAAUAAGGCUAUUGAUUCUUAGUUAUCAUUUUCAAAGCAAAGUUUUCAAGUACCUGUUUUAACCACACGAUUUAUAUCAUGCUGUGAUUUUGCCUUAUUGUAAGCCAUUUGUAUAUUUUAUUACCACUCCUCUUUUAUUGUCUAUCGGCUGCUUUUAUGAUGAGGUAGGUCCAUGUUUAUUAUUUAAUAAGUAUUGUCAAAUGUUAUUAGGCAGUUGUUAUCGCCUUAUAGAAAGUGUCCGAGGAAGUUUCAUUUCAGUCACAUUUAUUUCACAGAUGUUUUAGUACUGUGAAUAUAAUAUGUAAAAAUGCUGGAAACAUUUAGUAAUGCACUUGCCUAAAAAUAAACAGUUUUAUAACCACA